GGUUGGACACUCAGCUAGCGCUAGAAUCGUUCAAUAUGUAAACAAAGCUGCAUCGGAAGCUCCUUUUCGACGAAUUUUGAGAAGCCUGAGUUCGCGACAUCGCACGUUGUUAUGCUUCGUUCUACAAGUUUGAAAUUGCGAGUGUCAUGGAUGUGCAAAACACGUACCGAUGAACAGAAAAAAGAAAGAAGCCAGGAUGAUACCAAGUAAUAAACACCAAGUAAUAAACGGAACAACCCUUGGGUGUUGGUGCGAGACAGGCGAUGUUUAUAAAGCGAUGCGGAAGGUACCGUAUGCUUGAUAACGCGCUAGCGAGAAAUUGGGAAGAUAUAUUCGUGAGGUUGAUAAGUCGGCUUGUGCAAACUCACACAGGCAAACUAUAUACGAGCACGCAUCGCGUUACGAUGUCUAGAGCAAACACACACAGAGUGG